UGUGCCUGUCUCUGGUUAUUAUUUUGCUAUGAAUAUGAAACAGUUGUAUUAUGUUGAAUGCCUAGCCUGGAAGAAAAUAGCAAACAAAAAUACAGCUUAGAAAUGGGUGGUAGUCAGGCCUGCUGGGCACGUGAGUGUAUUCUGCCUUGAGUUCAAAGAGGAAACAGGACACUGUGGAUUGGGUCAGCACAGCUAAAUGGGAAUUCACAGCAUCUGAAGCAAAUCCCAGAAAUGGCUAGGUUGGGUAACGGUUGUUCAAGUGGGAAUCAGGAGCAGCUAUGUGGAUCAGUCACACCACACGGUCUCAUUUAGUCCUGAAACAACUCUGUGGCUCUUAUCCCUUCCCUUACUAGUUUUCUGUAUGCAAAUUAUGGCUAGACUUUUGUCCUCUUCUGCUAAUGAAUCCUGUAUCUUUGAAUCCUCAACAAAGUUUGUUGUUUAUGUUCGUAUUUACAAAUAGGUAAAAGGAUUUUUAAUGGGACUAUCUAAGAGAACUCAAAGAGUAAUCAGUUGCAUUUGUUUUAGGGAGAGCUUGAAAAAUUAAUCUUUUACUUGAAAAAGUCACGUUGAAUGGCUUCCAGCGAGGGGGUUCUUCUUGGGAAAAAUUCAACUGAAGCAUCUCUGCUGUCUGUAGAGAUGGAAUGGGGUAUGAUAUAUUAUUUGGCUCACAGUCAGUGGGAAGAAUAGCUAAAGAUUUGUAUGGGAACAGCUGAGUCCUGGCCUGAACCCCCCCCCGAUUGAGCUCGUGGGGAAAGGACCUGGUCAGCCCUGAGAGCACAGGUGAAGGCAAUUCAUCUUUGCAACCGGAAAGGGUGGAGCCUGGCUGCCCCUCUCUUAGACCUCAUUUAAGGGCUGACUGCCCCUGAGGAAGCAUUUUUUUCUGGAGAUUUCUUGGUGAAGAUUUUCCUUGUGAAUGCAGAACCUUCUGGUUUGGGCUGAAUUCUGUUGACAGCUGAAUAACACUGCUACUUGCAGUAUGAUUACAACAGUGUCUACCUUCGUUUUCAAAUCCAAUUUGCAUUUAACAAAAUGAAAGAUGAAAGCAACCUAGCUGAAAGUGCAUCAUCAGCACCAGCUUGCUGAAUAAUGGAUAUGAAAGACUGGAGAGAAGUCACCAAACUAGUUACAGUGUUGGAGAGAAUAUAGGGCAGGGAAACUUCAACAUGACUUAUUGCAAGCUGAUGACAUAAAUCAUCCAGGAAAGGCCAGUGAAGACCAGCUACUGAGCUUAUUUAUUGUAGAAGAGAUUGGCAUUAAUGAGCUGGAGAAGAAUGCAUUCAUCUGGGAUGAAAAUACCAUUGCGUCCUUCAAGAUAAUGAUGACCAUCCAGAGAAUGCUAUUGCUGAUGUGUCCAGAAAGACACCUUGCUCCAAAACACAAGAGUGUUUCCUGAUGACUGCAAUGCCAUACCAAAAUAUUACAAUACAUCUCAGUGCAGCGCCAGGAAACAAAAGACAUGAAAACAGUCCAGCCAUGAUAGCAUGGACUAAUCCAACACAACGACAAGUUCAACAGGCCUAUUUUGGUGAUGGAAAUGGGCGGGGGAUGAUAUAGCUUUUGCUACUUCUACAGCUUGACUUUACUAUGUGUUUUUCCCUGACUUUGACUGCAUUUCUGUAGAGCUGCUGUGGGUGUAAGGGUUGCAGGGAGAAGCUUGCAGCAGUAUUACUGAAAAAUGUAAUGGUAGUAAUUAAAAGAUCAGUCCCU
ensembl:lncRNA